rnacentral:lncRNA from 1 species
AAAGGGCCUUGCAAGCAGGGUUGCCAGGUCGAAAAGACAAAAAUUAGACAGAAAAUUAGAAAAACUAGGCAAAAUGUAGCCAACUUUAGCCAAGGCCAGUAAGAGUAGCCAGAAGUAGCCACGCAUAUAU